UCCUUUCACACCUGCAGAGUCAGAGGAAGGAGUGGAAACGUUUCAAGGGGGUUGGCCAACGUGAACUUGCAACAAAAACCCCCCCAUCGUGACUGUAAUCUGUGAAAAAUGCCCUGCAAUAAAAGCCGGCUGUUCAUUUUCCUCCGCACGCGGGCUUCAACAUCAUUACAUGUAACUUCAGAAUAAAGAUUCACCUCCACCUCCUCUUCAACGACAUCCAAAUAAAUCACUUGGCUUUGCUGCAUUUUUUUCUCUCAUUCUGUGCUUUCUUCCUUUAUACCUAGCAGCCUAGUAGGCCUAAGUAUAAUAGUCAGCUUCCAACACAUGAUUUA